rnacentral:rRNA from 1 species
UACGUAGGCAGCAAGCGUUGUCCGGAAUUAUUGGGCGUAAAGAGCUCGUAGGCGGUUUGUCGCGUCUGCUGUGAAAACCUAAGGCUCAACCUUGGGCUUGCAGUGGGUACGGGCAGACUAGAGUGCGGUAGGGGUGACUGGAAUUCCUGGUGUAGCGGUGGAAUGCGCAGAUAUCAGGAGGAACACCGAUGGCGAAGGCAGGUCACUGGGCCGCAACUGACGCUGGAGGAGCGAAAGCAUGGGGAGCGAACAGG